rnacentral:rRNA from 1 species
AAACUAACAAGGAUUCCCCUAGUAACGGCGAGUGAACCGGGAAGAGCUCAAAUUUGAAAUCUGGCGUCCUCAGGGCGUCCGAGUUGUAAUCUAUAGAGGCGUUUUCCGUGCCGGACCGUGUCCAAGUUCCUUGGAACAGGAUAUCAAAGAGGGUGACAAUCCCGUACUUGACACGAUGACCGGUGCUCUGUGAUACGUCUUCUACGAGUCGAGUUGUUUGGGAAUGCAGCUCAAAAUGGGUGGUGAGUUCCAUCUAAAGCUAAAUAUUGGCGAGAGACCGAUAGCGAACAAGUACCGUGAGGGAAAGAUGAAAAGCACUUUGGAAAGAGAGUUAAACAGUACGUGAAAUUGUUGAAAGGGAAACGAUUGAAGUCAGUCGUGACUGAGAGGCUCAGCCGGUUCUGCCGGUGUAUUCCCCUCAGUCGGGUCAACAUCAGUUUUGUCCGGUGGAAAAGGGCGGUAGGAACGUGGCACCUCCGGGUGUGUUAUAGCCUGCCGUCGCAUACAUCGGGUGAGACUGAGGAAUGCAGCUCGCCUUUAUGGCCGGGGUUCGCCCACGU